UCCAAAAAUCGGCCGAUUAUAAAGCUUCCAUUUGGAAGCAAAAAUAUCGUGCAGUAAAAACGUGCUCACCGAUCAGGUACGUAGGAUUUCCCUUUCCCCUGAGUCAUAGAACGGAUGAGUCAUUUUUCACGGAAUCCUAAGUGAAGUUCACGGGACAGGAACGAACAAUUGCAGCUCUGAUUCAUACUUUUUAUUGUAUUUUACUUCGCUUGUGGAUUACGUUUGGAUACGAAAUAUUUAUGUUUCUUUCCCUGGAAUUUUACUAACUAUUCCUCUCCGUGUAGUGAAAAUAUAGUGUCCAUAAGCGAAAUACUUAUAACGAUUGAUAACAAUGUAAAUACAUGAAAUCAAGACGAUCAAAUAUUCUCCUGAUUCAUAGACAUGAAAUAUGUACAAUCUGUACUCGUUAGUGGGUGACUUGCGACGGAGAACUCUCGCAAAUAGUAACCGAUAUCCCGACUAGAAAUGGCCUCAGGCUGUUCUGAAGUCGGAUCAGCAUUUGAUCGGGUAGCAGUCAGAUUGGGCUCAUCAAGCGAUGCUUGAUGAAGAACUGAUCAAGUUGUGACCCAGUUACUGGAAGCUGUUAUUGUGAGGAAUAUUUAAAGUGAUGGGAAGAAGAGAAAGAAAUGUGUUCAAAUAAAAUCUGAAAAACCUGAUUAAAUUCAUAUUCACAAAACUUAGUUUGAACUGGUCCAGAUAGAUCUGAGUCGAUCUGGAGCGACAAGAUGGUACCUAGUCCUAAAGACGAUAAUUCUAGUCCUGAACCAUAAACUUGUUCUGAUCCAGACUGAUGAGCUGAAUCCAGUCCAACACCUAGACUAGGCUGGCGUCAGAGCUGGGGCCUAACUUGAGAUAUGCUGGGAGUGAAACAUUGGACCAAGCAUAAGGAAGUUCAGCUGGGUCCAAGAGUGAGGCCCAACAUAAGUCCAUCAAUAUAAAGUCUAUAACAUCUCUAGAAUAUUGUCCUAAAUUUUCAAGUUGAUCUGAGUAAUAGUUUCGGAGAUACAGCCCUGAAAAGACGGACGCUCGAGGUCAGGUAAUUCAAAGUGUCUAGAGCCGUUUAAAGUGUCUAGAGCCUAGAUAAGCCGGGGUUCGUCAUCGACAGGAGCAAAAGGAUGCCCUGGACAUUGCAGCUGCAGCAGGUUCUCUACUUUAUGUCCCAGGAAUCGACGAUUCAAUAUAAUCCUGAAAGAAGUUCUGCUGACAACGCGGAGGCACCUUUUUUCCGAGGAACUGCCGGAAAUGGCGUCGUAAUGGCCGCCAUCUUGAAAUUUUUUUUUUUCAAAAUUUCACAAAAUGUUUAUUAAAUAUGUAUCUUUUAAAUAAUAAAAAGUUUCAUCUAAAUA